rnacentral:tRNA from 1 species
CGGGGUGUGGUUUAGUGGUAGAAUAGGCGCAUGGGGUGCGUCUGGCUCCAGUUCGAUUCUGGACACCCCGA